AAUGAACGCUGGCGGCAUGCCUAACACAUGCAAGUCGAACGAAAACACGAGGAGCUUUGCCCCUUGGCUUAAGCGUCGGACGGGUGAGUGACAUGUGGGUGAACUAGCUUGAAGAAUGGGGUAACUUCGUGGAACCGGUGCUUAUACCCGAAAAUAUUUCGAACCGCAAGGUUCGGGAGUUAAAGAUGGCUUUGCUUUGGCUGAUAGCUGAACGGGCGCCCGAUUAGCUAGUUGGUAAGGUAACGGCUUACCAAGGCAACGAUUCGUAGCCGACCUGAGAGGAUGAUCAGCCACACUGGAACUGAGACACGGUCCAGACUCCUACGGGAGGCAGCAGUAGGGAAUAUUGCGCAAUGGGCGCAAGCCUGACGGAGCAACGCCGCGUGAAUGAUGAAGGCCUUCGGGUCGUAAAAUUCUGUUAGUGGGGAGGAACAAACGUGUAUGUAACUGUGCACGUAUUGACGUUACCCGCUCAGAAAGCCACGGCUAACUCCGUG
rnacentral:rRNA from 1 species